AGAGUUUGAUCAUGGUUCAGAGCGAACGCUGGCGGCAGGCCUAAUACAUGCAAGUCGAGCGGGUGUAGCAAUACACCGGCGGCAGACGGGAGAGUAACACGUGGGAACGUGCCCUUCAGUUCGGGACAACCAGUCGAAAGACUGGCUAAUACCGCAUACGACCUAUGGGUGAAAGCGGGGGAUCGCAAGACCUCGCGCUAUUGGAGCGGCCGAUGUCCGAUUAGCUUGUUGGUGGGGUAAAAGCCCACCAAGGCGACGAUCGGUAGCUGGUCGGAGAGGACGGCCAGCCACACUGGGACUGAGACACGGCCCAGACUCCUACGGGAGGCAGCAGUGGGGAAUUUUGGACAAUGGGCGAAAGCCUGAUCCAGCCAUGCCGCGUGCGGGAAGAAGGCCUUCGGGUUGUAAACCGCUUUUGGCAGGAACGAAACGGUGCGCGCCAAUACCGCGUACUAAUGACGGUACCUGCAGAAUAAGCACCGGCUAACUACGUGCCAGCAGCCGCGGUAAUACGUAGGGUGCAAGCGUUAAUCGGAAUUACUGGGCGUAAAGCGUACGCAGGCGGUUUGGUAAGACAGGCGUGAAAUCCCCGGGCUUAACCUGGGAACUGCGCUUGUGACUGCCAGACUAGAGUCUGUCAGAGGGGGGUGGAAUUCCACGUGUAGCAGUGAAAUGCGUAGAGAUGUGGAGGAACACCGAUGGCGAAGGCAGCCCCCUGGGAUAAGACUGACGCUGAGGUACGAAAGCGUGGGUAGCAACAGGAUUAGAUACCCUGGUAGUCCACGCUGUAACGAUGUCAACUAGCCGUUGGGCUCAUU
rnacentral:rRNA from 1 species